CAUGCUAAGGUGCUCAGGUGUAUCUGACUCCUUGCGACCCCAUCGACUGUAGCCCGCCAGGCUCCUCUGUCCGUGGGAUUCUCCAGGCAAGAAUAUUGAAGUGGGUGUUUGUUCCCUCCUCCAGAGGAUCUUCCUGAUGCAGGG